rnacentral:rRNA from 1 species
UAGGGAAUAUUGGGCAAUGGGCGAAAGCCUGACCCAGCCAUGCCGCGUGCAGGAUGAAGGCCUUCUGGGUUGUAAACUGCUUUUUUACGGGAAGAAAAAACUCAUGCGUGAGGAACUGACGGUACCGUAAGAAUAAGCACCGGCUAACUCCGUGCCAGCAGCCGCGGUAAUACGGAGGGUGCAAGCGUUGUCCGGAUUUAUUGGGUUUAAAGGGUGCGUAGGCGGCCUAUUAAGUCAGUGGUGAAAGCCCAUCGCUCAACGAUGGAACUGCCAUUGAUACUGAUAGGCUUGAGUACAGACGAGGUUGGCGGAAUUGAUGCUGUAGCGGUGAAAUGCAUAGAUAGCAUCAAGAACACCGAUUGCGUAGGCAGCUAACUAGGCUGUAACUGACGCUGAGGCACGAAAGCGUGGGGAGCGAACAGG